rnacentral:rRNA from 1 species
GCAUAUCAAUAAGCGGAGGAAAAGAAACCAACAGGGAUUGCCCUAGUAACGGCGAGUGAAGCGGCAACAGCUCAAAUUUGAAAUCUGGCCCUAGCGGUCCGAGUUGUAAUUUGCAGAGGAUGCUUUUGGUGCGGUGCCUUCCGAGUUCCCUGGAACGGGACGCCAGAGAGGGUGAGAGCCCCGUACGGUUGGACACCUACCCUAUAUAUAGCUCCUUCGACGAGUCGAGUAGUUUGGGAAUGCUGCUCUAAAUGGGAGGUAAAUUUCUUCUAAAGCUAAAUACCGGCCAGAGACCGAUAGCGCACAAGUAGAGUGAUCGAAAGAUGAAAAGCACUUUGAAAAGAGGGUUAAAUAGCACGUGAAAUUGUUGAAAGGGAAGCGUUUGCGACCAGACCUUUUCCAGGCGGAUCAUCCGGUGUUCUCACCGGUGCACUUCGCCUGGUUUAGGCCAGCAUCGGUUUUCUUAGGGGGAUAAAGGCUUGGGGAACGUAGCUCUUUAGGGAGUGUUAUAGCCCCUUGCGUAAUACCCCUCGGGGGACCGAGGACCGCGCUCUGCAAGGAUGCUGGCGUAAUGGUCGUCAACGACCCGUCUUGAAACACGGACCAAGGAGUCGAACAUUUGUGCGAGUGUUUGGGUGUUAAACCCUCACGCGUAAUGAAAGUGAACGGAGGUGAGAGCCCUUACGGGUGCAUCAUCGACCGAUCCUGAUGUCUUCGGAUGGAUUUGAGUAAGAGCAUAACUGUUCGGACCCGAAAGAUGGUGAACUAUGCGUGGAUAGGGUGAAGCCAGAGGAAACUCUGGUGGAGGCUCGCAGCGGUUCUGACGUGCAAAUCGAUCGUCAAAUCUGCGCAUGGGGGCGAAAGACUUAUCGAACCAUCUAGUAGCUGGUUACCGCCGA